UACGAAGGGUGCAAGCGUUAAUCGGAAUUACUGGGCGUAAAGCGUGCGUAGGUGGUCUUUUAAGUCCGUUGUGAAAGCCCUGGGCUCAACCUGGGAAUGGCAGUGGAUACUGGAAGGCUGGAGUACGGUAGAGGAGGGUGGAAUUCCCGGUGUAGCGGUGAAAUGCGUAGAGAUCGGGAGGAACAUCAGUGGCGAAGGCGGCCCUCUGGACCAGUACUGACGCUGAGGCACGAAAGCGUGGGUAGCAAACAGG
rnacentral:rRNA from 1 species